AGCGCAUACGGUGGAUGCCUUGGCAGUCAGAGGCGAUGAAAGACGUGGUAGCCUGCGAAAAGCUUCGGGGAGUCGGCAAACAGACUUUGAUCCGGAGAUGUCUGAAUGGGGGAACCCAGCCAUCAUAAGAUGGUUAUCUUGUACUGAAUACAUAGGUGCAAGAGGCGAACCAGGGGAACUGAAACAUCUAAGUACCCUGAGGAAAAGAAAUCAACCGAGAUUCCCUUAGUAGUGGCGAGCGAACGGGGACUAGCCCUUAAGUGGCUUUGAGAUUAGCGGAACGCUCUGGAAAGUGCGGCCAUAGUGGGUGAUAGCCCUGUACGCGAAAGUCUCUUAGUCAUGAAAUCGAGUAGGACGGAGCACGAGAAACUUUGUCUGAAUAUGGGGGGACCAUCCUCCAAGGCUAAAUACUACUGACUGACCGAUAGUGAACUAGUACCGUGAGGGAAAGGCGAAAAGAACCCCGGAGAGGGGAGUGAAAUAGAUCCUGAAACCGUAUGCGUACAAGCAGUGGGAGCAGACUUUGUUCUGUGACUGCGUACCUUUUGUAUAAUGGGUCAGCGACUUAUUUUCAGUGGCGAGCUUAACCGAAUAGGGGAGGCGUAGCGAAAGCGAGUCUUAAUAGGGCGUCUAGUCGCUGGGAAUAGACCCGAAACCGGGCGAUCUAUCCAUGGGCAGGUUGAAGGUUAGGUAACACUGACUGGAGGACCGAACCGACUACCGUUGAAAAGUUAGCGGAUGACCUGUGGAUCGGAGUGAAAGGCUAAUCAAGCUCGGAGAUAGCUGGUUCUCCUCGAAAGCUAUUUAGGUAGCGCCUCAUGUAUCACUGUAGGGGGUAGAGCACUGUUUCGGCUAGGGGGUCAUCCCGACUUACCAAACCGAUGCAAACUCCGAAUACCUACAAGUGCCGAGCAUGGGAGACACACGGCGGGUGCUAACGUCCGUCGUGAAAAGGGAAACAACCCAGACCGUCAGCUAAGGUCCCAAAGUUAUGGUUAAGUGGGAAACGAUGUGGGAAGGCUUAGACAGCUAGGAGGUUGGCUUAGAAGCAGCCACCCUUUAAAGAAAGCGUAAUAGCUCACUAGUCGAGUCGGCCUGCGCGGAAGAUGUAACGGGGCUCAAACCAUACACCGAAGCUACGGGUAUCACGUAAGUGAUGCGGUAGAGGAGCGUUCUGUAAGCCUGUGAAGGUGAGUUGAGAAGCUUGCUGGAGGUAUCAGAAGUGCGAAUGCUGACAUGAGUAACGACAAUGGGUGUGAAAAACACCCACGCCGAAAGACCAAGGUUUCCUGCGCAACGUUAAUCGACGCAGGGUUAGUCGGUCCCUAAGGCGAGGCUGAAAAGCGUAGUCGAUGGAAAACAGGUUAAUAUUCCUGUACUUCUGGUUAUUGCGAUGGAGGGACGGAGAAGGCUAGGCCAGCUUGGCGUUGGUUGUCCAAGUUUAAGGUGGUAGGCUGAGAUCUUAGGUAAAUCCGGGAUCUUAAGGCCGAGAGCUGAUGACGAGUUGCCUUUAGGCGACGAAGUGGUUGAUGCCAUGCUUCCAAGAAAAGCUUCUAAGCUUCAGAUAACCAGGAACCGUACCCCAAACCGACACAGGUGGUUGGGUAGAGAAUACCAAGGCGCUUGAGAGAACUCGGGUGAAGGAACUAGGCAAAAUGGCACCGUAACUUCGGGAGAAGGUGCGCCGGUGAGGGUGAAGCACUUGCUGCGUAAGCCCACGCCGGUCGAAGAUACCAGGCCGCUGCGACUGUUUAUUAAAAACACAGCACUCUGCAAACACGAAAGUGGACGUAUAGGGUGUGACGCCUGCCCGGUGCCGGAAGGUUAAUUGAUGGGGUUAGCUAACGCGAAGCUCUUGAUCGAAGCCCCGGUAAACGGCGGCCGUAACUAUAACGGUCCUAAGGUAGCGAAAUUCCUUGUCGGGUAAGUUCCGACCUGCACGAAUGGCGUAACGAUGGCGGCGCUGUCUCCACCCGAGACUCAGUGAAAUUGAAAUCGCUGUGAAGAUGCAGUGUAUCCGCGGCUAGACGGAAAGACCCCGUGAACCUUUACUAUAGCUUUGCACUGGACUUUGAAUUUGCUUGUGUAGGAUAGGUGGGAGGCUUUGAAGCGUGGACGCCAGUUCGCGUGGAGCCAUCCUUGAAAUACCACCCUGGCAACUUUGAGGUUCUAACUCAGGUCCGUUAUCCGGAUCGAGGACAGUGUAUGGUGGGUAGUUUGACUGGGGCGGUCUCCUCCUAAAGAGUAACGGAGGAGUACGAAGGUGCGCUCAGACCGGUCGGAAAUCGGUCGUAGAGUAUAAAGGCAAAAGCGCGCUUGACUGCGAGACAGACACGUCGAGCAGGUACGAAAGUAGGUCUUAGUGAUCCGGUGGUUCUGUAUGGAAGGGCCAUCGCUCAACGGAUAAAAGGUACUCCGGGGAUAACAGGCUGAUACCGCCCAAGAGUUCAUAUCGACGGCGGUGUUUGGCACCUCGAUGUCGGCUCAUCACAUCCUGGGGCUGAAGCCGGUCCCAAGGGUAUGGCUGUUCGCCAUUUAAAGUGGUACGCGAGCUGGGUUUAGAACGUCGUGAGACAGUUCGGUCCCUAUCUGCCGUGGACGUUUGAGAUUUGAGAGGGGCUGCUCCUAGUACGAGAGGACCGGAGUGGACGAACCUCUGGUGUUCCGGUUGUCACGCCAGUGGCAUUGCCGGGUAGCUAUGUUCGGGAAAGAUAACCGCUGAAAGCAUCUAAGCGGGAAACUUGCCUCAAGAUGAGAUCUCACUGGAACCUUGA
rnacentral:rRNA from 1 species